GGCUACCACUCGUAAAUACAAUGAUGUCUGGAUUGGUCUUAGACGUGACCUAUGCGAAAAUUCAUCCUUAGCUGCUAAGUUAAACGUCGUUUUUAUUUUAUUUAGCUCGAUCGGCUCAUACCUUGCUCUUCCUUUUAGUUAUCAAUUCACUACUGCUCCGCUACUGCUCCCAGUCAAAGUACAAUGAGUUACCAGCAUGUUCAUGAAGGUCCCUCCCCUCCAACAGGCAAGUUUCAUUAGAUCAACGCCAAUUUCACGCACUGAUUAUGCCCAAGUCUCAGUUUUUGCUACUAACACUACGAAAAAACAAAACAAAAUUAGCUACAAUAUCCGUUGUUAAAUUGCUCCUAGCUAACAGAUAAUCCGUCUAUUACGGAAUUUGUCCGUCGCUAAUUCCUCUGUUGUUUUUUUAGUAGUGUAAAUUUGUGAUGGUACUAAUCAAUUUUGCUGUGCUUGAUUUCCUUUUUCAAUUGUUUUGAUUUACUACGUGUCAGGUUAUGCUCCACCACCGCCGGAGCCACAAGGAUACCCACCUCCAGGGCAGCCAGUACCAGGUGGGUACUAUGGUGAGGGACCACCACCCCCAGGACCCCCUAGUUAUCAGGGUUACUUUAAUGAUCAACAUCCACCACCACCUGAACACAUCCACCACGACCAGCCUGGUGAUGAUAGUAGUGGCUGUUGUUCCUUUUUAAAGGGCUGUUUGGCUACUCUCUGUUGUUGCUGUUUGUUGGAGCAGUGCUGCAGCUGCUUCUAAUCGGCCGGAUGCCAUCGGCCUAAAUAGCAUGAGUGUUGUGUCAAAUAUUUGCGAGUGAUGGAGCUGAUUUAUUUGAAAAUUUGGAGGACUCCUUGCUUAGCUAUUGAGCAUAUAUGUGUUGAAGCUGCAUUAUUAUGUCUUUACUGCAGCUAUGAUGAUUAUGAGAACAUAAUUGUGAAGAAUCUAUCUGUAUCAUUGUGGUAAAUUAUAACUUUAAUAUAUAAAGUAAUUGUCAUAGAUUGGAAA